UACGUAGGUGGCAAGCGUUGUCCGGAUUUACUGGGCGUAAAGAGCGCGUAGGCGGUCGUUCAAGUCGCGUGUGAAAGCCCCCGGCUCAACUGGGGAGGGUCACGCGAUACUGAUCGACUCGAAGGCAGGAGAGGGUAGUGGAAUUCCCGGUGUAGUGGUGAAAUGCGUAGAUAUCGGGAGGAACACCAGUGGCGAAGGCGACUACCUGGCCUGUUCCUGACGCUGAGGCGCGAAAGCUAGGGGAGCAAACGGG
rnacentral:rRNA from 1 species